rnacentral:rRNA from 1 species
GACGAACGCUGGCGGCGUGCCUAAUACAUGCAAGUCGAGCGGAGCGGCGGACGGGUGCGUAAUGCCUAGGCAUCUGCCUGGAAGUGGGGGAUAACGUCCGGAAACGGGCGCUAAUACUGCAUACUCAUAGCUGAGCAUAAGUCGGAUUGGCUAGGUGGUGGGGUAAAGGCUCACCAAGGCGACGAUCCGUAACUGGUCUGAGAGGAUGAUCAGUCACACUGGAACUGAGACACGGUCCAGACUCCUACGGGAGGCAGCAGUGGGGAAUAUUGGGCAAUGGGCGAAAGCCUGAUCCAGCCAUGCCGCGUGUGUGAAGAAGGUCUUCGGAUUGUAAAGCUCUUUAAGUUGGGAGGCGUUACCAACAGAAUAAGCACCGGCUAACUUCGUGCCAGCAGCCGCGGUAAUUC